UACGGGGGGGGCAAGCGUUGUUCGGAAUUACUGGGCGUAAAGGGUUCGUAGGUGGCCAACUAAGUCAGACGUGAAAUCCCUCAGCUUAACUGGGGAACUGCGUCUGAGACUGGAUGGCUUGAGAUUGGGAGAGGGAUGCGGAAUUCCAGGUGUAGCGGUGAAAUGCGUAGAUAUCUGGAGGAACACCGGUGGCGAAGGCGGCAUCCUGGACCAACACUGACGCUGAGGGAGCGAAAGCCAGGGGAGCAAACGGG
rnacentral:rRNA from 1 species